rnacentral:rRNA from 1 species
UCCGGUUGAUCCCGCCGGAGAUCACUGCUAUCUGAAUCCGACUAAGCCAUGCAAGUUCUGGGUAAAACCAGGGCGCACAGCUCAGUAACACGUAGUUAACUUGCCCUUAGAUUUGGUAUAAACCCGGGAAACUGGGCCUAAAACCGAAUAGGCAAUUAUUCCUGGAAUGGUUUUUUGUUGAACUAAGGAUGGGACUGCGGCCGAUUAGCCUGUUGCUAAGGUAAAGUCUUGGCAAAGCUAUAAUCGGUACGGGCCUUGAGAGAGGGAGCCCGGAGAUGGAUUCUGAGACAAAAAUCCAGGUCCUACGGGGUGCAGCAGGCGCGAAAAUUUCGCAAUGCACGUAAGUGUGACGGAGGGAUUCAGAGUGCUUUCUGUUAAGCAGGAAGCUUUUUUUCGAAUCUAGACAGUUCGGCGAAUAAGGGGUGGGUAAGACGGGUGCCAGCCGCCGCGGUAAUACCCGCGCCCCAAGUGGUGAUCGCGUUUAUUGGGUUUAAAGCGUUCGUAGCUGGUCCGACAAGUUCCUAAUGAAAUCUCAUAGACAACUAUGGGACUUGUUAGGGAAACUAUCGGACUUGAGACCGGGAGAGGUCGAGGGUAUUGUAGGGGUAAGGGUAAAAUCUUAUAAUCCCUAUAAGACCACCUGUGGCGAAGGCGCUCGACUAGAACGGAUCUGACAGUGAGGGACGAAAGCUAGGGGAGCAAAGGGGAUUAGAUACCCCCGUAGUCCUAGCUGUAAACCAUGCCCACUAGACAUUGGAGUUCUUAAGGGGGACUCCAGAGUCGUAGGAAAACCGUUAAGUGGGCCGCCUGGGGAGUACGGUCGCAAGGCUGAAACUUAAGGGAAUUGGCGGGGGAGCACACAAGGGGUGGAGGCUGCGGUUUAAUUCGAUUCAACGCGAGGAACCUCACCAGAGGCGACAGCAGAAUGAAGGUCAGGCUGAUGGUCUUACCAGACAAGCUGAGCGGUGGUGCAUGGCCGUCGUCAGUUCGUGGCGUGAGCUGUCCACUUAAGUGUGGUAACGAACAAGACCCGUACCCUAUGUUACAACAGGCUUCUCUUGAGGCUUGGUACUCAUAGGGGACUGCAGACGACAAGUCUGAGGAAGGGGCGGUCGACGGCGGGUCUGUAUGCUCUUAAUCCUCUGGGUUACACGCGGCCUACAAUGGUCAGGACAAUGGGAUGCGACCCCGAAAGGGGGAGCUAAUCCUCAAACCUGAUCUUAGUCCGGAUCGAGGGCUGCAACUCGCCCUCGUGAAGCCGAAAUCCCUAGUAGUCGCUGGUCACCAUCUAGCGGCGAAUACGUUCCUGCUCCUUGCACACACUGCCCGUCAAGCCAACCGAGUGGAUCUUUGAUGAGCUUCUGGUUCUUGCCAGAAUCGAAUCACGGAUUUGUAAGGUGGGCUAAGUCGUAACAAGGUA